rnacentral:rRNA from 1 species
UCGAGGGAUCAUUUUGCAAUGGGCGAAAGCCUGACAAUGCGACGCUGCGUGGAGGAUGAAGGCCUUCGGGUUGUAAACUCCUGUCAUAAGGGAACAGGCGAGGGUACCUAAUACGUACCUAAGUUGAGUGUACUUUAAGAGGAAGGGACGGCUAACUCUGUGCCAGCAGCCGCGGUAAUACAGAGGUCCCUAGCGUUGUUCGGAUUUACUGGGCGUAAAGGGCACGUAGGUGGCUAGGCGUGUCGAGUGUGAAAUCUCCGGGCUCAACCCGGAAAGUGCGCUCGAAACUACCUGGCUGGAGUCCGGGAGAGGGAAUCGGAAUACAGGGUGUAGCGGUGAAAUGCGUUGAUAUCCUGUAGAACACCGGAGGCGAAGGCGGAUUCCU